AGAGUUUGAUCCUGGCUCAGAUUGAACGCUGGCGGCAGGCCUAACACAUGCAAGUCGAGCGGAAACGAGUUAUCUGAACCUUCGGGGAACGAUAACGGCGUCGAGCGGCGGACGGGUGAGUAAUGCCUAGGAAAUUGCCCUGAUGUGGGGGAUAACCAUUGGAAACGAUGGCUAAUACCGCAUGAUGCCUACGGGCCAAAGAGGGGGACCUUCGGGCCUCUCGCGUCAGGAUAUGCCUAGGUGGGAUUAGCUAGUUGGUGAGGUAAGGGCUCACCAAGGCAACGAUCCCUAGCUGGUCUGAGAGGAUGAUCAGCCACACUGGAACUGAGACACGGUCCAGACUCCUACGGGAGGCAGCAGUGGGGAAUAUUGCACAAUGGGCGCAAGCCUGAUGCAGCCAUGCCGCGUGUAUGAAGAAGGCCUUCGGGUUGUAAAGUACUUUCAGUCGUGAGGAAGGUGGUGUCGUUAAUAGCUGCAUUAUUUGACGUUAGCGACAGAAGAAGCACCGGCUAACUCCGUGCCAGCAGCCGCGGUAAUACGGAGGGUGCGAGCGUUAAUCGGAAUUACUGGGCGUAAAGCGCAUGCAGGUGGUUUGUUAAGUCAGAUGUGAAAGCCCGGGGCUCAACCUCGGAACAGGAUCUUUAAGGAGGUUCCUGUUAGGAAGGGGGGGUAAGAAUUUGCAGUGUAAGGCCGUUGAAAUGGCGUAGAGAUCUGAAAGGGAAUAACCCGGUGGCGAAGGGCGGCCCCCCUGGACAGAUACUGACACUCAGAUGCGAAAGCGUGGGGAGCAAACAGGAUUAGAUACCCUGGUAGUGCACGCCGUAAACGAUGUCUACUUGGAGGUUGUGGCCUUGAGCCGUGGCUUUCGGAGCUAACGCGUUAAGUAGACCGCCUGGGGAGUACGGUCGCAAGAUUAAAACUCAAAUGAAUUGACGGGGGCCCGCACAAGCGGUGGAGCAUGUGGUUUAAUUCGAUGCAACGCGAAGAACCUUACCUACUCUUGACAUCCAGAGAACUUUCCAGAGAUGGAUUGGUGCCUUCGGGAACUCUGAGACAGGUGCUGCAUGGCUGUCGUCAGCUCGUGUUGUGAAAUGUUGGGUUAAGUCCCGCAACGAGCGCAACCCUUAUCCUUGUUUGCCAGCGAGUAAUGUCGGGAACUCCAGGGAGACUGCCGGUGAUAAACCGGAGGAAGGUGGGGACGACGUCAAGUCAUCAUGGCCCUUACGAGUAGGGCUACACACGUGCUACAAUGGCGCAUACAGAGGGCAGCCAACUUGCGAAAGUGAGCGAAUCCCAAAAAGUGCGUCGUAGUCCGGAUUGGAGUCUGCAACUCGACUCCAUGAAGUCGGAAUCGCUAGUAAUCGUGGAUCAGAAUGCCACGGUGAAUACGUUCCCGGGCCUUGUACACACCGCCCGUCACACCAUGGGAGUGGGCUGCAAAAGAAGUAGGUAGUUUAACCUUCGGGGGGACGCUUACCACUUUGUGGUUCAUGACUGGGGUGAAGUCGUAACAAGGUAGCCGUA
rnacentral:rRNA from 1 species